rnacentral:lncRNA from 1 species
CUUUCUUCCCCCAAAGAAAGAUGGGGUAAUCUGCUUUUUCCUUAUCCCUGCCUGCUUCUGCCUAUGAGAGCUUUCCAUUUUGUUUGGCUCCUUGCAGUUCCUUUCUAUUUGCUAGAUAGGAUGUUGCUCAGCCCAUGAAUCAUGGAAUAAAGCCAUUUUGAGCUUUAAAUUUACUCAGCUGAAUUUUAACACAUUUUUCAUCUUAAAUCUAGGAUCAGCUGGUUUUUAACACUUAUACAAUAUCAACAAUUCUAAUCUGCUUUCUUUUCAUGUUUACUUCUAAGAUUUUGUUAGGUACCACUUUUGAGAAAGCCUUCUCAUGUCUAAAAAAAUCCAAAUAACUAUUGCUAAUGACUGGAAAAAAAAUAAGAAUGGAACAGAGGCUUUUAGAAAACUAAACCAUUUCCUUCAGAAACAGAUGUCCAAUUUUGGAUGGUUAUGUACAAUUCAUUUUAAGAGCUGGGGCAGUUUAUUCAUGUAAACGGAAGGUUAAAAAUCAUUGACCAAAACAAAGGCACCAUAGUUACAGCUACAAGCAUACUGAAGUACUUUGACAAGACAUUAGAAAAACUUAGACAUUGUGAUGGGAAACUGCUUCACUCCAUGCGCACAAGUCAUGCUUCUUCACAGUUAUCCUCUUUUUUGCUUCAAACGGUUAUAACUUUAUAAUAUCAUUGAUUCUUAUUCUAGCAUUUUGUUUCACUAAAUUGUGACCAAAGGCUUCUAUCACUCCAUAAAAAAGGAAAUGCAGAGUAUUUUGGGCUAUGUUAACAAUGGAAGCCUGUCAAGUAACUUAUUAAUUUUGUUACCUUACUUAUAGACCAUAGACUAAUUUUAUGAUUUAUACAGAAGGGAACAUUCUUCCCCUCUGAAAUCAUCUUCAACUUUGAUAUGAAGACCUUAGGGUGUAUAUAAUCAAGAUGAUUAUGAAUCAGUAAGAAAAUAUUUAUUAUAAAUUCAGAAAAUAGAGGACUUUUUAAACAUUAAUAAUUUUAAAUGGUAAAUACUAUCAACAUAUUUUGGAAAAUUCAUUUUGUUAUAAAAUAACUAGCUCUUAUGGCAGCAUGCAAAUCUGUUAGUAGUUAAGGCGUCUAGCUGAAAAUAGGAGGAAAUGGAGGAAAAUAAGCUUCUAGAAUUUUAGUCAUCCUGGAGGUCAAUGUUUUUAUGGAUGAUUUAUGGCCAUGGCCACAUGUUCAAAGCCUUGAAUGGUAACUCAAGAGCAUUUCAGACUAUGCUUCAUUCAUGUGGUGAAAACUGAUAGAUAAAGUUAGCUAGUAGAGAUGCCACAAAACCUGAUAUUCUUAAAAGUUCAAAAGUACAAUUUAUAAAAAGUUGUCACAAAAUAAGAAACAGUUAUCCAGAUUAUUCAUAGAGAAGAGAACCAGGAUUCCUGACUGUGCAGACGCUGAGCUUCAGAGUGGGAAUGCACACAUGAAUGCACAUCUUCUCUGUGUUAACUCUUAACUCUUAAUUUUGCUUCGUUCUUGGGACUGUAGAAAUGCUUAAACCCAAAACCUAUCUCCGGUGACUUCCUUGAUUAGCUCCUCUUUACCUUGUGCCUCAAUAGUAGUGACCUCUUAAUUCAGUCAAGCAGGUAUUUGCCAUAAGCCUUUUAUAAUGCAGGAUAUCUUGCUAGGAGUAAGUAAGAUGAGGAGCAAGAACAAUUCCUGCCCUUAUGUCUAAAAUUUGGGACAAAACAAACAACAGGUCCUCCUUCAACACCAGAGGGUAGUGUCAUGUCUUAAAUAAAUGGAGGAAAUUCAGGUCUAGUCAACAUCCAUAGUCUCCUAGGAAGUGAUACACAAUGCAGAAUAUUUUUUUUACCAACAUUUUGACUGAAACUUCAUAUACACUCUAUUAGUGUGCUCAGGCCAUCAUAACAAAAUGCUAUAGAUUGGGUGGCUUGAACAACAGAAACUUAUUUCUCACAGGUCUGGAAGCUAAGAAGUCCAAGACCAAGGCAUAAGCCAACUGGGUUUCUAGUGAGGACUCUUCUCCUUGCCUUGCAGACAAGGCAGGGAGAAGAGAGACGGCUUCUUGUGUCUCCUUUUGUAAGGACACAAUCCUACUAGUAAAGGCUCCACCCCUAUGACCUCACUUAACCUUAAUGGCCUUAUUGUCCUUAUCUCCUAACACAGUCACAU